CAGUGGGGAAUAUUGCGCAAUGGACGAAAGUCUGACGCAGCGACGCCUCGUGAGGGACGAAGGUCUUCGGAUUGUAAACCUCUUUCAGCAGGGACGAAGCGAAAGUGACGGUACCUGCAGAAGAAGCACCGGCUAACUAUGUGCCAGCAGCCGCGGUAAUACAUAGGGUGCAAGCGUUGUCCGGAUUUAUUGGGCGUAAAGAGUUCGUAGGCGGUUUUUCGCGUCGGAUGUGAAAACUCAGGGCUCAACCCUGAGCCUGCAUUCGAUACGGGAAGACUCGAGGACGGCAGGGGAGACUGGAACUUCUGGUGUAGCGGUGGAAUGCGCAGAUAUCAGAAAGAACACCAAUGGCGAAGGCAGGUCUCUGGGCCGAUCCUGACGCUGAGGAACGAAAGCGUGGGGAGCAAACAGGAUUAGAUACCC
rnacentral:rRNA from 1 species